rnacentral:rRNA from 1 species
CAGUAGCCGCGGUAAUACGAAGGGUGCAAGCGUUAAUCGGAAUUACUGGGCGUAAAGCGUGCGUAGGCGGUGAGUUAAGUCUGCUGUGAAAUCCCCGGGCUCAACCUGGGAAUGGCAGUGGAUACUGGCUCGCUAGAGUGUGUCAGAGGAUGGUGGAAUUCCCGGUGUAGCGGUGAAAUGCGUAGAGAUCGGGAGGAACAUUAGUGGCGAAGGCGGCCAUCUGGGACAACACUGACGCUGAGGCACGAAAGCGUGGGGAGCAAACAGGAUUAGAUACCCCUGUAGUCCCUGUCUCUUAUAC